CAGAAAAAGGACAAGCACGAUAUUGUUUUUUUAUUUAGGCCAUACACAAGUUUUUAUGUUAACAUUUCCCCACGGCAGCUGCAAAUACAGAUCACAGGCAAUAAAUAUUCAGCUGCAAGUCUAUUUAUAUUGCAAACCCGUCACAAGAGGAAACACAGGAUACAUAAGUAUUGUACGCUUGGCCUUUUGAAAAGUUUGUCGUUCAAAGGAGGAGAAAAGGAAACGUAUUAUAGUGGAAGUUGUCCAGUGUUUGACGUUUUUGUUUGAAUCCCACAAGUUACCCACUUAGUUCAUUUCUCACUCAGAUAAUGCAGACCGGAUGCGCUUUUGACGUUGCACAGGGAGAAAAACAGCAACACUCACGAUAGUGCCCGGUGACCUGUUCCUUAAAAAAACAACCCUCAUUUAAAGUCCGUGGCUUUGUAAACAUUUUACAGACAACGCGCAUCCGUGAGGGGAUUAUUUGCUGCAUGAUCGCUACACCCCAGGAACUGAGUGAAAAACCUCUCUGUCCCUCCCAGAGCCGGAGCUGCUGCAAACUUAGCAGGCCAGGCAGUUUACCAUCAUCAGAAAAUAAAGCCGUAAUUCUAGCUUAAAGGGGCACCUGCCAUUUGCCACUGUCAAGAGGACAGGAUACUGGGCUUGAUGGAUCUUUGGUCUGAUGCAGUAUGGCCGUUCUUAAGAAUUGGACCCUCUGAGGAGAGCCCCAAUGAACGGGAUACUGCUAAUCCAUGCAGUGUCUAGGAGGGAAGAUGCAUGAUCACUGGGGUGUGUCCUGGCAGGCAAUCCUGCACUUGUUUCGUACCCGCACACUUCGCUUUGACUCUGGCUGAAAUCUGGGGGCUAACAAGUCAUCUCUUCCCAAUACCCUCUGCUAAAUACCUUCACAUUAUACUGUACUAGCAUAGCAUUUACGGCUACUCCAUAAAUCAGAGGAUUAUGUCACAAACGCUUGAAAUGAAGUGGAGAGAAAAUAUCAUGGGAUCUUCACCUGAAAUAGAAGAUAACGUCUUUUCAGUAAUAUUUGUGUUCCUGAUCCUUAUCCUCUCAAGGAAAACACCAAUUGACUUCAAUCAGUGCAGUAGAAUCCCUGCUAAAUUAGCCCAGAAUAAGGAGUAUGGAUUAAACAGGAGGAGGAGAGGCAGGAGUGAAGUAGCCCAUAAAGCUGGAUGCGUAGAAAGGACACCAAACAGUCUGUGAAUAAAUCUCUCAUUUAAAUACAGUGGCACCUUGUUGCUUUACUUGGAAGCAAGAGUAAAAAGGGGGUAU